UACUCCGACCACGCACCAACCAUUUCGCACGCAACCCCAGAUGCGAUCUUGCGGCUCCUCCCCCGUCCCCGCCGUCGCCGGCGCCCCGGCGGCACCUUCCUUCCUCGCCGCCACACCCAGCCCCUCCCACUCCUCGCCCCCUCGCCACCGAUUUCUCCUAUGCCCGAGUCCAAGAUGCAAGCUUUAUCCCCUCCUCCGUCACGGCGCCGGCGACCCGGCGGCUCCGGCCUUCCUCCCCGCCGCCCGCCUAGCCCCUCCUCUCUUCCUUGCCUCCCUGCCCCCGCUUCCGCCGAUGGCCCCUUAGCAUCACCGCGGAUCCAGCUUCCCCCCCUUCCCCCGGGCCGAUGGCGCCUUCUCGUCCCCAAAUCCGCCGCUGCAGCCUACACGGGCCACAGCUGAUUAUCCUGAAGGCCAACGGCGUCAAGCUGGUCCAGAUCUGCCAGUGCUGCUCAGGAAUCUCGAGCGGGCGCACAUCCUGACCUGGCGAGCGAGCAGGCGACCUGACCUGGCGAGCGAGCAGGCGACCUGUGCAUGUAGAUGAUUCUGCAACAGGAUUUGGAGCCCCGUUUCCAUGUCUCUUAUUGCAUGAAUCUGAAACAGGAGAAGAUGACGAAAUCGACGAAGCUGUAGAUAUUUGGAACUUGUGGAAAUGUAGCUCUGGGUUGGAUGUCCUUUCUAAUGUUUUUGGGGCCGACAUUCUUUCUACCUUUUGAUUCAGCUUGUUGAAGUGUGGCCAUCAAUUUUGGAGGAGGAAGAGAAGGAAGAAAGAGAAGGCAAAACAAAAGAAGGAAGAAAAGGCAAAUCUCACAGAACAGGAGGCUGGUGAAGAAUAUUUGGCUUUAAAGGAAAUGACUGGGCCUACUGCUAGGCAAGAAGAAGAAAUGAUAUUAG